AUUGAACGCUGGCGGCAGGCUUAACACAUGCAAGUCGAGCGGGGUGAUGGUGCUUGCACUAUCACUUAGCGGCGGACGGGUGAGUAAUGCUUAGGAAUCUGCCUAUUAGUGGGGGACAACAUCUCGAAAGGGAUGCUAAUACCGCAUACGUCCUACGGGAGAAAGCAGGGGAUCACUUGUGACCUUGCGCUAAUAGAUGAGCCUAAGUCGGAUUAUCUAGUUGGUGGGGUAAAGGCCUACCAAGGCGACGAUCUGUAGCGGGUCUGAGAGGAUGAUCCGCCACACUGGGACGGAGACACGGCCCAGAAUCCUACGGGAGGCAGCAGUGGGGAAUAUUGGACAAUGGGGGGAACCCUGAUCCAGCCAUGCCGCGUGUGUGAAGAAGGCCUUAUGGUUGUAAAGCACUUUAAGCGAGGAGGAGGCUCUUUUGGUUAAUACCCAAGAUGAGUGGACGUUACUCGCAGAAUAAGCACCGGCUAACUCUGUGCCAGCCGCCGCCGUAA
rnacentral:rRNA from 1 species